rnacentral:lncRNA from 1 species
GCAAGAUUUGCUUGGACUUUUCUUUGUAGCUGUGGGAAGCCUUGGCGUUUGCAGGUCUUCUAGGUGUUUCUUUAUACCUGGAGAAAGAGAAGGCAGUACGGUGUGUUGGCAGAAGCUAGAGCUGGUGCUAGAAGACUGGGGUACACGGGACUGCUCUGCCACUCACCUCGGCCACUCACAUCAAGGCCAGUUCGGGUCCUUGCUGUCCUUACUUAUUCCUGCACAACUUUUCCAGGGCUGGUAAUGGGAGCUUCAAGGAAACCGCCCGGAUCUGCAUUCUCUCUUCUCUGUGUCCCCUCCAGCAUGGGGUCCCAGACUUUUUAUCUGACCCGCUCAGGAUCUCCAGAGUGCUGUGACAACCCAGUGGGAGACGAGGGACACUUUAAAACUCAGUAGAGGAAUUCCCCUGCCGUCUGGCAGCUGUGCCCUCCAGCUGACCUGGCCCCUCCGAUUCCCGGGGAGAAGCCAUGUGGGCAGUUUGGUCACUGACUGCCGUUCGACCCCAUGGCCUGGGGGUUAUUAAUCCCCGUCUUGGACAAAAAAAAAAAAAAAAAAACCAAUGCAGUAAAGGAGACAGUCUUCCUAGGAAGAGGACAAGGGCAAGUGUGGCUUAUCCAAAUGGAUGACACACCUAAAAAACACCCAGUAUUCCCCUCUGGAAAACAGUUUAUGGGGUUCUUUUCUUUGUAAAAGAUAUGAUCUUCCUAACUCUGUUGGCCUUGAACUGGCACAGCCCAAGAACUCGACAGAUAGGGGACUUCAAGGAAUGGAGGUGCUGUGGAUUGUAGUUAAAGACCCUCAUCAGGACCCCUAAUAUCCCUGGGCCAAUGAAAAAGGCCCUCUCUUCCCUGAAAAUUGAUUCAGAUAGUACAUGAUUAUAACUGUCAAUGGCGGAACAUAUUCUCCGUGCACUCCCCAUUCCGGGCUUGAAAAUAGGUAGGAAUGGAGUCACUGAAAGCUAUUGGAGAAGAAAAGAGACAACUUUAAGGAAUACUCAGAAUAUGACUGAGCUAAGGCAGUUUUGUGCAUAUGUGUGUGCUGUGAUUGCUAUCUCAGGCCUUGAUCAACAGCUCCAGUCUUAGAGUCCCAGAUCUUCAACCCCACAUAUGUUAGACUACAUCUAAAAUGUGAAAGGCCUCCCUUCAGAAACGAUACCCUUGAGCAGCGCACAACCUAAAGAACCACAUGCUAACCCUGUCUUCAGAGGCUCAUCUCCAGAAUUUAAUGAUACUCUCAAGCAGGUGGUACACAGGUAGCUAAUGCCUGUCUAUAUUUUCCCCUCUCAGUUCCUCAGGGAGCAGUAUCAUACCAUUUUGGAUCUCACAGACUCUGGAGUUACUUUACCUUCUUGCCAAGUUUAUAUUGGAAAGUGAUAGGGUCAGGUUACUUAUUCUCUUUAAAUCUUGCUUAAUCUGUUAAGCAGGAAAUAAUAAUAUCUACCUCAUAAAGAUAUUAUGUGACAUAAAUGCAAUCCAUGUAACUCAAAGUGCCUAGCAAGUAGUAAAUUCUCAGAAAACAUAAACUGAUAAUAUUAUUAACUUAGUUUAUAGCAAGAGGAAACAGGUGUCUUACAGUGAUCAAACCUUCAAAAAAAAAUCUUUUGGAGGUUUUUGCCUAUUUAGGAUUUUGAUUCUCUCUUUCUUUCAUUUUGUAUUCUUAAGCAUAUAUUUUUCUAUUUUAUCUACUUUUCAACACUUUGAAGACUUUUUUUUUAUUAUCACUAGAGACGUAAAUUACAGUAAAGCUCAGUAAGUUGUAAUACACUGGACUUCUUUCACAGCAACAUCCCUGAGCCAUGAUGUUCCUUCUCUGAAACUCUAUGGGAGAAAACUCACUGACUCACUGGUUGCCUCUUCUGGGGAUGUAUCCGAAUUGUCUUGCUCAGUACAAAGCCACCAGGGGCUUUUCCAUUGGUUUAUGAUACUGUGGCCUUCUGAACUUAGGACCCAGACUUUGAAUCAGGCUCAAUAGCACUUUGACCAAAUGCCAAAUCUGGGAAGAACUUUAUCCAUUCUCUAUUCAUCCCUCCAACUUCCAACCCCUCAAUCCUAGUAUUAGUAAAGGAUUGUAUUUGCUAAACACACCCACCAGAGUAAAAAUCAGCAAACAAAAAGCUAGCUCAAGCAAGGAAAGCUACUUGUGCUAUAAAACAAUCCCUUUGAUCUCCCUCUGAAGCGUGUUUUCUAAUGUAUGUGGAGAGCAAUGAACAGAGGUGUUUGUGCACUCAUGGGGCUUACCCCGUUUGUUCCUCUUCCUGGGAAGUCACAUUAUUGCUAAGUUUUCUGCUCCACAUACCCCCUGUGCCAGCUUUUUUUUCUUUUCUUGUUGUCUGCCGGUUAACACAUCUUCCCUUCUGGUUGCACUUGGCCUUCAAGUAUUCUGGUCAGAACACUAAGUGUUAAAGAACACAGCGUUUACAAAAGGCUCACAUCACUGCAGUCCUUGAUCACUUACUGAGAAAUCCACAAAGGAAGUUGAACUAUGAAACUUGUCACUCCUCCAAAUGACAACAGACAUAAAAAGUAUUUGUAUAGCACAAAUAAUCAUUUUAUAAUGGCAUUUAGCUGGUUUUUACAACCUCAACCAUCAUUUAGCUGAUUGCAAAGCUUGUGAUCCAGCAAUAUUCAACCCCCAAACACAGGAGGCAUUCCAAAGGCAGUUAGAGAGUGCUGAGACAGGUUACAUUCUUGUGCAGACUGCUGGCAAAGUGCAAAGAACCCUGGGAGAUCAUUUUUUAGAUGUGGGUGUAAUAGCCAAAAUCCUUAGCUGUAGCUCAUGUCAGCGUGUUGCUAAUGGAUCGUUGUAGGAAAGCGUGGUCAAUAGCUCUUGGCAUAAUCUUUCUGGAGUGACUUGAUCCUGGGGAUUGAAGUGAACAUGUUUCUUACUGGUUGGGAUUAUAUGCUAUUUAGAAUAGAUCUUACCCAGUGAUAAUGACUAUGGCCCUUGCUGCAUGGAAAGGGCACAAAAUAGUUAAUUUACCAAUAAUUAACUUGUUGGUCUCCUGGAAGAAUGGACUAUGUGGGGGAUCCAGUGUUCAUCUCUGUUGUUGGCAGAUAUUUGAGAGCCACUCUGGCUUUAAGCUGGGGUGGCUCAGUGGUAGAGCGCUGGCCUAGCAGGCCCGAGGCCCUGGGUUCCAUCCCUAGCACCUCAAGCA